UAGCCCUCGUUGGAGAAGCAGGGCACGUGCAAAGGCCUUCAAACUCAACUCACUUUUGCACGUGCUCCCCUUCUCCAACAUGGGUUC
rnacentral:pre_miRNA from 1 species